GGCCGGGGGGGCCGGCCGGGGCAGGCUGCAGGCACGGGGCGACCGCCGGACAACAAAGGCAACAACAGCAAUGAGAGGAGGAGGAGUGGUUUUUUUUUUGCUCUCGCUCUUUUUUCUUUUUUUUUUUUUUUUCCUGGUUGUUGUUCUUUGCAGCACUUACUGAAAGAGCAAAUCGUCCACACGCGUGUUUGUUUUAAAAGGUGCUUUUUCAGUGCUGCCAAAUUGGAGGAGGACGAUGGGCAAUGCCUGCCUUGCUCUUGGUUCUCUUUAAAAAUUGUGGUAUUGAGUAAUAUGGAUUGUCAUAGCUUUCGGGGAAAAAAAAAGAAAAACGUAGUGGAAGGCACUGUGAGAAUUUUUAUUUAUUUUUUUUUUAGGGGGAGAAAAAAAAAAUACUCUGGCCGGUUUAUUGAAUGCAUAUAAGCUGCCUAGGCCUUUCACAGCAAAACAACUUGAAUUGCAAAUGCAUAUUCUUGUGUCUUCUCUUAGCUUGUUGACUUUAUUCAGAAAGAGGAAUGGGAAUGUAAAUAACACAACUCAAACUCUUCUUGUUUUUCCAGCCUGAUAAUUAGUAUUUCAGUUUUCUCCCCAGGUUCAUCUUGGAUAGCAUUCUUGUAUGAAGACAGUAGAGAUGCAGGGGAGAGAAGGGGAAGCUUGUUUGUGUCAUUCUUAAGACAACUGACAGUACUGAAAUACUGCUUUCUCCUGUGUGCUUUUUACAUGCCCUGAGGCAAACAAGGUCCCAGCCCCACAGACCUUCUGCUCUGAUGAACACUGUAUAUGAAGAAGCUUUUCAUAGCCAAAAGUUGGUGUGCCAGACAGAGAUCCAUUUCUUAUGAACUGCCUGUUGGAGAACCACAGAAAUCACUGACAAUCUGCGGUCAGACUUCAGGGGGAAACUGAAGGCUGUUACUGCUCGCUGGAGGGAAAACGUGGCCUACCACCUCUGUGACACUGGGGGAGGUUGCAAGUUAGAGUUUAGGGGAGCUCUGUGUCAUAUCAGUAGUUCAUCCAUGUUUUGUAAAAGGCAGGGGAUUUGUUCUUCCAUGCUUAUGCAAGGAGCCAGGUAUCUACUUAGGGUAUUAUUUGUAAAGCUGGAGAAAAGACAGGCCCUAGAGGAUGGAAGAAGUUUGAAUUUUUCUGGUUUUGAUUUUUUCAUUGAAAUUCAAAAUAUUGAUGAUGUCUUACCAGUUUUUAACACUGC